AGUGAACGCUGGCGGUAGGCCUAACACAUGCAAGUCGAACGGCAGCACAGGAGAGCUUGCUCUCUGGGUGGCGAGUGGCGGACGGGUGAGGAAUACAUCGGAAUCUACUUUUUCGUGGGGGAUAACGUAGGGAAACUUACGCUAAUACCGCAUACGACCUACGGGUGAAAGCAGGGGAUCUUCGGACUUUGCGCGAUUGAAUGAGCCGAUGGCGGAUUAGCUAGUUGGCGGGGUAAAGGCCCACCAAGGCGACCAUCCGUAGCUGGUCUGAGAGGAUGAUCAGCCACACUGGAGCUGAGACACGGUCCAGACUCCUACGGGAGGCAGCAGUGGGGAAUAUUGGACAAUGGGCGCAAGCCUGAUCCAGCCAUACCGCGUGGGUGAAGAAGGCCUUCGGGUUGUAAAGCCCUUUUGUUGGGAAAGAAAUCCAGCUGGUUAAUACCCGGUUGGGAUGACGGUACCCAAAAAAUAAGCACCGGCUAACUUCGUGCCAGCCGCCGCAGUAA
rnacentral:rRNA from 1 species